ACAGCAGCUAGCAUAGCUCCCAUUCACAGGAAAUAAACCCAACCAGGGGCAAACAGCUCGCUGCGAGCCAAAGCACGCGCGAUGGCGUCCUCCACCAAAACCGCCCGUUUCCUCGUGCUCGCACUGCUCGUCGUCUCCGCGGUGAUCAUGCCCAGCUCCGUCUGCCAUGGAAUCCGUGGCGUUGGGCUAGGUUCCGGCGGAGCUUUGGACCCCAACCAUCCUGCGUGCAUCGGACCGUGCCCAGGUCGUGGUCAACCCUACACGCCCCGUCCCGGCGGCGGGCCUGGUGUCUACUACCCUAGCACACCCGCUGCACAAUCCAACGGAGAGAACCUACAUCCUUGAUGGCUGCCUCGCGGAUCACGUUCUCUGCUCGUAUGGUGUAGUAACGAAAAAAAAACUUGGCGCAACUACGUACUGUGACCAGUGACCUACAUGAUACUAGUACAAUACAACUCCACUAUUUUGAUCGACGCACCGUGUGCACGACUGCAUGUUAGCUACUCCACAACCUAAGAGGAUAUAUAACACCGUCUCAUGUACACGUACGUGUGUGUUAAGUAUCAAUAAAACUGGGUCGAAUUUGCUUCUACCA